rnacentral:rRNA from 1 species
CCUACGGGAGGCUGCAGUGGGGAAUAUUGGACAAUGGGGGCAACCCUGAUCCAGCCAUGCCGCGUGUGUGAAGAAGGCCCUCGGGUUGUAAAGCACUUUCAGUGAGGAAGAACGCCUGGUGGUUAAUACCCAUCAGGAAAGACAUCACUCACAGAAGAAGCACCGGCUAACUCCGUGCCAGCAGCCGCGGUAAUACGGAGGGUGCGAGCGUUAAUCGGAAUUACUGGGCGUAAAGCGCGCGUAGGUGGCUUGAUAAGCCGGUUGUGAAAGCCCCGGGCUCAACCUGGGAACGGCAUCCGGAACUGUCAAGCUAGAGUACAGGAGAGGAAGGUAGAAUUCCCGGUGUAGCGGUGAAAUGCGUAGAGAUCGGGAGGAAUACCAGUGGCGAAGGCGGCCUUCUGGACUGACACUGACACUGAGGUGCGAAAGCGUGGGUAGCAAACAGGAUUAGAUACCCCGGUAGUC